rnacentral:ncRNA from 1 species
UUAAACUUAAAGACUACUUCAUUAAGCAAAUUAGAGCUUACCAAGCAGGCAAAGUACCUACAGCAUCCGUUGCUAAAGGUACAAGUUCUGCAAGCAAUACUAAGUCAACUGUAGCUGGUGCAUGGAAACGUAACAGUUAUGGUACAUGGUAUAUGAGCGAGAAGGCAGUAUUCACAAACGGUAACUCUCCAAUCGCAGUUCGUACUGUUGGUCCAUUUAGAAGUUGUCC